rnacentral:rRNA from 1 species
CUGGAAACGGUAGCUAAUACCGCAUAACGUCGCAAGACCAAAGAGGGGGACCUUCGGGCCUCUUGCCAUCGGAUGUGCCCAGAUGGGAUUAGCUAGUAGGUGGGGUAACGGCUCACCUAGGCGACGAUCCCUAGCUGGUCUGAGAGGAUGACCAGCCACACUGGAACUGAGACACGGUCCAGACUCCUACGGGAGGCAGCAGUGGGGAAUAUUGCACAAUGGGCGCAAGCCUGAUGCAGCCAUGCCGCGUGUAUGAAGAAGGCCUUCGGGUUGUAAAGUACUUUCAGCGGGGAGGAAG